rnacentral:rRNA from 1 species
GUCCUCUUGUUUAUAUAUGAGGUCUGACCUGCCCGGUGAGAUUUAUUUUAACGGCCGCAGUAUUUUGACUGUGCAAAGGUAGCAUAAUCAUUAGUCUUUUAAUAGGGGGCUGGUAUGAAGGGUUUGACGAGGUGUUUACUGUCUCAUUUAAUUUGUAUUUAGAAUUUAACUUUUCAGUUAAAAGGCUGAAAUGAUAUUGGAAGACGAGAAGACCCUAUAGAGCUUUAUAAUUAAAACUUUAAUUAUUUUUUGUUUAUUAUUUUUUAUUAUUAUUUUAAUUAUUUUGUUGGGGUGACAAAAAUAUAUAAUUAACUUUUUUAUUUAAUUAACAUUGAUUUAUGAUUAUUAGAUCCAUUACUAGUGAUUGUUAGAUUAAGUUACCUUAGGGAUAACAGCGUAAUCUUCCUUCAGAGUUCAUAUUUACGGGAAGGCUUGCGACCUCGAUGUUGGAUUAAGAUAAUAAUUAGGUGUAGCCGCUUAAUAUAUAGGUCUGUUCGACCUUUAUAUUCUU